rnacentral:lncRNA from 1 species
AUGCUGGGCCCCUUCAAGGCAUCCCCCGUAGGACCCGCCAGGCCAAGCAACCCCGCACGGACACAGAGCAACCAUUUCGACCUCCCGCUCCACCUGCCCACCGACCCUCCCCACGGCGCACACCCUCCCUCUAGGAAUCCCGAAGAACUGCUCACUUCUCGGCGGACGCGGCGAUUGCAAGUUGGUUCAAGUCAGCAGCGCUUCCCUCCGGAUCCGCCGGCGGCCUCGGGCUUCCCCUUGACGUCUCGGAAAGGCAAGGAGGAGUGUGACUCCGGAGGAGGGCGAGCGACUCUGCGGCCGGCCGAGCAGGACUUGGGGCGCGCUCGGCCUCUCGCCCCAGCUCCGCGCCCACUCGCUUUCUGCAGACAAAGGCGCGAACGUGCAGGCGCUGCGGCCCCCGGGCCUGGGGUACCGAGCGGUGCCCGGCGCUGCCCGGGGUGGGGGGGGGGCGCGCGCCUGGGGGGCGGACCUCAGGGGAGCAGGUGGGGGCGGGAUCGCAGGGGAGCAGGGCGGGGCCGGGGAGGGCCUGGGAUGGAGCAGCCGGGCGGCCCCCGGGUACCCGGCCGGGCGCGCGCCUGCGGGGCCGACCUCACCCGCCCGGGCUGGGGAUGGGGGGCGGGGGGAUCGCAGGGGAGCAGGGAGAGGGGCCUGGGAUGGAGCAGCCGGGCGGACCCCGGGUACCCGGCGGGGCGCGCGCCUGCAGGACCGACCUCACCCGCCCGGGCUGGGUCGGGGCGCUGGGGAGCAGGGCGGGGCGGGUCCGGGGAGGGGGAGGGGCCCGGAGGCCGCAGCCACGCCCGAGAUGCGGAGGGGCCCCCGCUGGGCCGAGGACUCCCGAAGCGUGGGUCUCGCUCGGCAGAGCUGGGUCCCGGGCGGCUGAGCGCCCUUGGGUGGGGGCGGGGGCGGGGGGUGGCGGGGGCCCGGGAGGGGGGCGUAUCCCAGCAGCCGGUUCCGGGCGUGACGCGCGCUCCCGGGGCGGCGGCGGGGAGCGGGCGGGCGGCUGCUCGCCUCGUCUUUGUUCGCUCACUUUGA